UCUGACCAGCCAUGCCGCGUGAAGGAUGAAGGCCCUCUGGGUCGUAAACUUCUUUUAUCUGGGACGAAAUCACUUUUUUCUAAGGGUGUUGACGGUACCAGAGGAAUAAGCACCGGCUAACUCCGUGCCAGCAGCCGCGGUAAUACGGAGGGUGCAAGCGUUAUCCGGAUUCACUGGGUUUAAAGGGUGCGUAGGCGGAUUUGUAAGUCCGUGGUGAAAUCUCCAGGCUUAACCUGGAAACUGCCAUGGAUACUAUAAAUCUUGAAUGUUGUGGAGGUUAGCGGAAUAUGUCAUGUAGCGGUGAAAUGCAUAGAUAUGACAUAGAACACCAAUUGCGAAGGCAGCUGGCUACACAAAUAUUGACGCUGAGGCACGAAAGCGUGGGGAUCAAACAGGAUUAGAUACCCUGGUAGUCCACGCCCUAAACGAUGAUUACUCGACAUUUGUGAUACACAAUAAGUGUCUGAGCGAAAGCAUUAAGUAAUCCACCUGGGAAGUACGACCGCAAGGUUGAAACUCAAAG
rnacentral:rRNA from 1 species